rnacentral:rRNA from 1 species
ACUCAAAUGAAUAGACGGGGACCCGCACAAGCGGUGGAACAUGUGGUUUAAUUCGAGGCAACGCGAAGAACCUUACCAGGCUUUGACAUGCUCUCUGUGGAUUCCAGAAAUGGAGUCCUUCACUUCGGGUGGGAGAUGCACAGGUGCUGCAUGGCUGUCGUCAGCUCGUGUCGUGAGAUGUUGGGUUAAGUCCCGCAACGAGCGCAACCCUCGUCCUCUGUUGCCAACAGGUAAUGCUGGGAACUCUGAGGAAACUGCCGGUGAUAAGCCGGAGGAAGGUGGGGAUGACGUCAAGUCCUCAUGGCCCUUACAGCCUGGGCUACACACGUGUUACAAUGGCAGUGACAAUGCGUUGCGAACCUGCAAGGGUAAGCCAAUCGCAAAAAGCUGCCUCAGUUCGGAUCGUACUCUGCAACUCGAGUACGUGAAGCUGGAAUCGCUAGUAAUCGCGCAUCAUCGCGGCGCGGUGAAUACGUUCCCGGGUCUUGUACACACCGCCCGU